rnacentral:rRNA from 1 species
UAGAAUUCCCUGCUGUAGGCGGCUGAAAUGCGUAGAGAUCUCGAAGGAAUUCCCGGUGGCGGAAGGCGGCCCUCCUGGACGAAGACAGACGCUCAGGUGCGAAAGCGUGGGGAGGCAAACAAGGAUUAGAUACCCUGGUAGUCCACGCCUAAACGAUGUCGACUUGGAGGCUGUUCCCCUGAGGAGUGGCUUCCGGAGCUAACGCGUUAAGUCGACCGCCUGGGGAGUACGGCCGCAAGGGUUAAAACUCAAAUGAAUUGACGGGGGCCCGCACAAGCGGUGGAGCAUGUGGUUUAAUUCGAUGCAACGCGAAGAACCUUACCUGGCCUUGACAUCCAGAGAACUUAGCAGAGAUGCUUCGGUGCCUUCGGGAACUCUGAGACAGGUGCUGCAUGGCUGUCGUCAGCUCGUGUUGUGAAAUGUUGGGUUAAGUCCCGCAACGAGCGCAACCCUUAUCCUUUGUUGCCAGCGGGUAAUGCCGGGAACUCAAAGGAGACUGCCGGUGAUAAACCGGAGGAAGGUGGGGAUGACGUCAAGUCAUCAUGGUCCUUACGGCCAGGGCUACACACGUGCUACAAUGGCGCAUACAAAGAGAAGCGACCUCGCGAGAGCAAGCGGACCUCAUAAAGUGCGUCGUAGUCCGGAUCGGAGUCUGCAACUCGACUCCGGAAGUCGGAAUCGCUUGUAAUCGUAGAUCAGAAUGCACGGUGAAUACGUU